UACGUAGGGUGCAAGCGUUGUCCGGAAUUAUUGGGCGUAAAGAGCUCGUAGGCGGUUCGUCGCGUCGGCUGUGAAAUCCCGAGGCUCAACCUCGGGUCUGCAGUCGAUACGGGCGGACUGGAGUUCGGCAGGGGAGACUGGAAUUCCUGGUGUAGCGGUGAAAUGCGCAGAUAUCAGGAGGAACACCGGUGGCGAAGGCGGGUCUCUGGGCCGAUACUGACGCUGAGGCGCGAAAGCUAGGGGAGCAAACAGG
rnacentral:rRNA from 1 species